GUGGCUGUAGCUCAGUUGGUUAGAGCGUCUGUCUGUGGAACAGAAGGUCGUGGGUUCGAGUCCCAUCAGCCACCCCA
rnacentral:tRNA from 1 species